rnacentral:rRNA from 1 species
UACGUAGGGUCCGAGCGUUGUCCGGAAUUAUUGGGCGUAAAGGGCUCGUAGGCGGUCUGUCGCGUCGGGAGUGAAAUCUUACAGCUUAACUGUGAACUUGCUUUCGAUACGGGCAGACUUGAGGCAUUCAGGGGAGAACGGAAUUCCUGGUGUAGCGGUGAAAUGCGCAGAUAUCAGGAGGAACACCGGUGGCGAAGGCGGGGUCUC